rnacentral:rRNA from 1 species
UACGGGGGGAGCAAUCGUUGUUCGGAUUUACUGGGCGUAAAGGGCGCGUAGGCGGCCAGCGCAAGUCAGUUGUGAAAUCUCCGGGCUUAACUCGGAAAGGUCAACUGAUACUGCGCGGCUAGAGUGCAGAAGGGGCAACUGGAAUUCUCGGUGUAGCGGUGAAAUGCGUAGAUAUCGAGAGGAACACCUGCGGCGAAGGCGGGUUGCUGGGCUGACACUGACGCUGAUGCGCGAAAGCCAGGGGAGCGAACGGG